GCCCCCGUGGCGGAACGGUAGACGCGGACGACUCAAAAUCGUCUGCCCUCACGGGCAUGCUGGUUCGAGUCCGGCCGGGGGCACCA
rnacentral:tRNA from 1 species